AGUUUCAAAGACUCCAAAUCAAGGAGAGUGGAGAGAGAGCUUUGAAACCAUACCCACGUCUCCUCCGAUCUCUUCCCCUGCCAUUCUUUUUCGUCUGUCACCGGUGACCUUGAGCAUGACACAUAUUUCUUUUUCCUCUUCCUCUGUUCUGCGUUGCUGAUCGCUCAACAUUUCGAGUCGUUGUUCAGCUCGUCCGUCUGCUAUUCAUUCACGUUGCUGGCCGUUCUUUGUUCUUCUUCCUCUGUUAAUAUCGUGCUAUGGGUUAUUAAAUUUCAAACUGUGAGAGUGGUCGAUUCCUGCAAGAGGCUGAUUUACUGGUCUUCUCCUUCCACUGUUCAGCACCAAACUCCUCCUCUCCCUUCAUCGUUGUUGUUGUCCGUGGCUGAAUUAAAGGGUAGGAAGAUAAUCUGAGUCAUAAUGCGUGAGCACAAGUGAGAUUGAACUCAUUGUACCAGGCGCCAUGGUGCACUGUCGAGGGAUCACUUAAAGCUAACAUGAUUAGCUCGUGUAGCUCGUGAAAUCAGAAGUAAAAGUGUGGAAAACUCAUCUGGAGGGGUGGAGAUGUUCAGCUUUGCUAGGGUAAGCAAUAUCUAGAGCUUGGGAGUCUGCUUCAAUUAAUAACUUGCCAGAUUGAGCACCUGUGAAGUUACUUGCAAGAAUCUGCAUCCCUAGGAGUUUAAUGUGGUUAGUAACCUUUAGUAGUAAGGGUUAAAGGUAACUAGAGUAACUUUUUACUCAUUUGUUUAUGAAAUUAUUUGCAAGUAUUUUGAUAUAACUACAUGCAUUGUAUUAUGAAUUGAUAGAAUAGUAGCAUUGUGAAAGUAUAUACAUGCAGGUGUGUGAAUGUUGAAUGAAAUGAAUUUGAAGUGGCACGUGCAUUGACAUGCAUUGCAUCCACGGGAUAUACCCUGGAUUAUGGUAGGGGGAAACGUGGUACUAUUAUGAGAAGGUCCAAGAAGUCUUGAUGAUCCAAAGCGUAGAACUUGACUCCAUCAUCAUGGACCUAGGAAAAGAAUCCUGAUGAUCCAGAGUGUAGAACUUGACUCUGCCAUGACGAACCUAGAAUAUUGAAUGACCCACGAGGUUACCCUAGACUAGGGUAGGGGUUAUAGUCUUACUCUGUAUAAGGCUAAGAAGUCCUGAUGAUCCAAAGCAUAGAGCUUGACUCUGCCAUGACAGACCUAGAAGACCACCUAUAUGAAAAGAAAUGACCUGGUUUGAGCAGUGGUAUGGUGAAGAGAGCGCGAGAAGGUUGGGAAAUGAAACAAGGAAAGAGUAGCCUCGAUUAGUAGUGGUAUGACUACCAUUGAGUUAUAUGAAUGUAUAAUGUGAUGUUAAAUUAUGAAUUGCCAACUAGGAUGUAUAAGUGAUUGUAUGUUGAGUUAUGAUAUGAAUCUUUCUUGUAUAUAUAUGUAUAUGAUGUUGCAUUAUGCUGAGGGUGCCUACUGGAGGGUAUGUGGGUAGGCUUAAAUGCAAACAAACAAUUAUAUGUUAUGUUGUAACUUGUUCCACUUGUGUAAAUAUGUGUUGAUUGUGAAUUGAA